rnacentral:rRNA from 1 species
AGUGAACGCUGGCGGUAGGCCUAAAACAUGCAAGUCGAACGGCAGCACAGUAAGAGCUUGCUCUUACGGGUGGCGAGUGGCGGACGGGUGAGGAAUACAUCGGAAUCUACUUUUUCGGGGGGGAUAACGUAGGGAAACUUACGCUAAUACCGCAUACGACCUACGGGGGAAAGCAGGGGAUCUUCGGACCUUGCGCGAUUGAAUGAGCCGAUGUCGGAUUAGCUAGUUGGCGGGGUAAAGGCCCACCAAGGCGACGAUCCGUAGCUGGUCUGAGAGGAUGAUCAGCCACACUGGAACUGAGACACGGUCCAGACUCCUACGGGAGGCAGCAGUGGGGAAUAUUGGACAAUGGGCGCAAGCCUGAUCCAGCCAUACCGCGUGGGUGAAGAAGGCCUUCGGGUUGUAAAGCCCUUUUGUUGGGAAAGAAAAGCAGCAGGUUAAUACCCCGCUGUUCUGACGGUACCCAAAGAAUAAGCACCGGCUAACUUCGUG